AGAGUUUGAUCCUGGCUCAGAACGAACGCUGGCGGCACGCUUCAUACAUGCAAGUCGAACGAUUAAAGCCCCUUCGGGGGUAUAUAAAGUGGCGAACGGGUGAGUAACAGGUGGAUAAUCUACCUUUCGGUGGGGGACAACGGUUGGAAACGACCGCUAAUACCGCAUACGAUCGCUAGAACUUCGGUUUAGGCGAGGAAAGGGGCUUUUGCUCCGCCGAAUGAUGAGUCCGCCUCCCAUUAGCUAGUUGGUGUGAUAACAGCGCACCAAGGCGACGAUGGGUAGCCGAGCUGAGAGGUUGAUCGGCCACACUGGAACUGAGACACGGUCCAGACACCUACGGGUGGCAGCAGUAGGGAAUAUUGCGCAAUGGGCGAAAGCUUGACGCAGCGAUGCCGCGUGGAUGAUGAAGGCCUUCGGGUCGUAAAGUCCUUUUCUGAGGGAAGAAAAAGCCGGGGAGUGGAAAGCCCCGGCCCUGACGGUACCUCAGGAAUAAGCAACGGCUAACUCCGUGCCAGCAGCCGCGGUAAUACGGAGGUUGCGAGCGCUGUUCGGAUUUACUGGGCGUAAAGGGAGCGCANGCGGCUUGUUCAGUCU
rnacentral:rRNA from 1 species